rnacentral:tRNA from 1 species
GCCUGGGUGGCGAAAUUGGUAGACGCGCCAGACUCAAAAUCUGGUAUGGGCAACCAUGUGUGGGUUCGAGUCCCACCCCAGGCACCA